rnacentral:lncRNA from 1 species
GGGGCGGGCCAUGGAGAAGCUGCUCCGACACUGACCAAGUAGAUUGGUCUCACACGGCCAGGCCCGCCAGAGGAGCCUCUCCAGCGAUGGGGAUCCUACAAGGAAGGAUUCCUUCCGCCUGCAAGUAUAAAGCCAGGUCAAAUAUCCUAGACGGCUAGACAAGUCAACAUUGGAGGCGCAUGUUGAGUCCAGUGCCGGUUUUGAACGUACGUACAUGCUGACUAGUAAAUGUUUAAGAAACUGUAUGUAAAUCACUGAAUAAUUUUGUUGGAUAUACCUUGCUAAUUUCUUUCUUAUGCAGGCGUUGGAUCAUUCAUUCUAGGGUGGAUUAAUAACGAUGAAUGUAUGUUGUUGCAAUUUUGUUGAGAUAUGCUCAAAGAUUAGCACUAAAUUUAAAUUUUACUACCUCUGUUUCUAGAUGUAGGAUUUAGGAACAGAGGGUCUACAUGUUUGUAGACGUUAACUCUCUGCCAUACUGUAUUCUUUUUCAGAAUUUUUAGAACAUCUGAAAUAUAAUUUUCACUUGGUUCCCAUUUUAAUAUGGAUACUGAGUAGUGAGACGUUAAUAUUUU